CUACGUAGGGGGCGAGCGUUGUCCGGAAUGACUGGGCGUAAAGGGCGUGUAGGCGGUUUAAUAAGUCUGGAGUGAAAGUCCCGGGUUCAAGUUGGGAACUGCUUUGGAUCAUGUUCAACCUGAGUGCGGAAGAGGGAAGUGGAAUUCCCAGUGUAGCGGUGAAAUGCGUAGAGAUUGGGAGGGACACCAGUGGCGAAGGCGACUUACUGGGGCGUAACUGACGCUGAGGCGCGAAAGCGUGGGGAGCGAACAGGAUUAGAUACCCUGGUAGUCCACGCGGUAAACGAGGAAUGCUAGGUGUUGCGGGUAUCGACCCCUGCAGUGCCGGAGUAAACACAAUAAGCAUUCCGCCUGGGGAGUACGGCCGCAAGGUUGAAACUCAAAGGAAUUGACGGGG
rnacentral:rRNA from 1 species